CACCACCUGUGAUCACGUUGUGAAUAAAACUCAGAAGUCACGUGCUCAGCACUAUUGACGGAACAGCGAGUCAAACACACACCCGCACACGAUCUUUGCAGUCUCCUUGGAAAUUAAAGGAUCAGAAUUGUUUAUAGGUCAUGCAUUCUACAACAACAACAGUAGUAAUGUCAGCUCCCCCGGCUCCAGUCGUCAUCCAGCAGGCACCGAUAAAAGAAAGAUUUGCCGACAGAAUUCUGCUAAACAUCCUGAUCUCCAUCUUCUUUCCUUUCUGGUUGAUUGUGUGGUGCUGUAUGUGCAUUUGUGAGAGGUAACCCGUUAUGAAUGAUGACUGUUUGCGUCAUGAUCGUGAUCACUUACAUGAACAAGUACCAGGGAUUGAUAUAGAGCUUAAUAUCAUAUUGAUCUGUAUAAAAAAAAACAUUUCCUUUU